AACGAACGCUGGCGGCAGGCCUAACACAUGCAAGUCGAGCGCCCCGCAAGGGGAGCGGCGGACGGGUGAGUAACGCGUGGGAAUAUGCCCUUUGCUACGGAAUAGUCUCGGGAAACUGGGGGUAAUACCGUAUACGCCCUUUGGGGGAAAGAUUUAUCGGCGAAGGAUUAGCCCGCGUUGGAUUAGGUAGUUGGUGGGGUAAUGGCCUACCAAGCCGACGAUCCAUAGCUGGUUUGAGAGGACGAUCAGCCACACUGGGACUGAGACACGGCCCAGACUCCUACGGGAGGCAGCAGUGGGGAAUCUUAGACAAUGGGGGCAACCCUGAUCUAGCCAUGCCGCGUGAGUGAUGAAGGCCUUAGGGUUGUAAAGCUCUUUCAGCUGGGAAGAUAAUGACGGUACCAGCAGAAGAAGCCCCGGCUAACUCCGUG
rnacentral:rRNA from 1 species